GAUUAAGUUAUUAAGGGCGCACGGUGGAUGCCUUGGCACUAGAAGCCGAUGAAGGACGUUACUAACGACGAUAUGCUUUGGGGAGCUGUAAGUAAGCUGUGAUCCAGA
rnacentral:rRNA from 1 species